rnacentral:lncRNA from 12 species
GGCCCUUUAAGGACAAAGGUUGCCAACCCCUGCUCUGGACUGUUCGGUAGGAAUAUCUUUUGGAGAGCACACCAUGUCUAUAUUUACCGUGAAACAUUAAAGACACGAGUGGAAGAAUUUGACCUCUUGUAAUCUGAAUCCGAAUCUAAGUGUCAAGCAACCUUGGACACAUAUUUUUCUGUCUCUGUGGUUUGGAUCCCACACUCUGCAGAGAGAUGUGAUGCCCUGAGUAAAGAAGAAAGCUCCCUGCCACUGCACCUGCCCAGAGGGAUGCCCCUGUGUGUGUCAGCACUUCUCCCCACCAGCUAAUUCAGGGAGCCAAUGAGGGUUGCCAAGGCGCUCCUCACUCAGCCUCACCCCUGCCCCCUGCAUCCACAACCACGUCUCCGUGACCGGCCUUAGGCCUUGGAAUUGGCCACAGAGAGGAGUCUGUACGAGGUCAGCCGUCAAGGGAAGCCAGGUGGGAGGAAGAAGAGACAAAGUCAAAGACUGACGUACACACAGAUGUGACAACUUGUCAGAAAUGCUCAUCGAGGGACAAGGCCACAAGGAGAGAGUGUGGACACAUUCACCAAAGACUUGGAAUUAUGCCGUCUGAGAGGCUUCCUCGGAUGAUGGGGGCCUGGCUCUGCUUGGGUAAGCCGAGUCACAGUCCCAGGGAACGGGCGCCACCUGCUGGAUCUCCGGUGUGUGACGCUCCCUGUGACAGGCCAGGAACACGGAGGAAGUACCAUCGGGGAGACACGUGCAGCUGGAACAUCCUGGAUGAGACACAGGCCGCAUCAGUGGUGCAGCGCAUCAGGCCCUGGCGCACACUCAGGGCUGAAGCAUACAUCCUGCCAAUGCAGUCACUGCUGAACAUGACACAGUACUCUGCGGGGACCCUGGCCACCCCCCACCAGGACCCAGCCUCGAUGGGACUAGGGUGGCAGCAAAGAUGA